rnacentral:rRNA from 1 species
UACGGAGGGUGCAAGCGUUAUCCGGAUUCACUGGGUUUAAAGGGUGCGUAGGUGGAAUGGUAAGUCAGUGGUGAAAUCUCCAAGCUUAACUUGGAACUGCCGUUGACUUACUAUCAUUCUUGAAUAUUCGUGGAGGUAAGGCGGAAUAUGAUCAUGUAGCGGUGAAAUGCUUAGAUAUGACAUAGAACACCGAUUGCGAAGGCAGCUUGCUACACGAUCAUUGACACUGAGGCACGAAAGCGUGGGGAUCAAACAGGA